rnacentral:piRNA from 1 species
UGAAGAAAACAACCCAGGUUGCUUUCCUUC